UUGAGCUUGAAUAGAAUGAAGAACCUGGGCUGGAGAGAUGGGUCAGUGGUUAAGAGCACUGUCUUCUUCUAGAGGUGGCUCACAACCAUCUGUAAUGGGAUCUGAUGCCCUCUUCUUAUGUGUCUGAAGACAGUGACAGUGUACUCACAUAUGUUUAAAAAAGUAAUAAUAAAAUAAAUAAAGUGAAAUAAAAAAAUGAAGAAUUAAGCCUGGCACUGGUGGUGCAUGCCUUUGAUCCUAGCAAUUGGGAGGCAGGGGCAGGCAGAUUUCUGAGUUCAAGGCCAGCCUGGUCUACAAAGUGAGUUCCAGGACAGCCAGGGCUACACAGAGAAAUCCUGUCUCACAAAAGAAACAAACAAACAAAGAACUAAAGAUACGAAUGUAAGAAGAAAGGCCUGCCACUGAAUGGAGGGUGUGAAUCACAGCCUAGACACAGCCUAUCAAGAAUUUUUUAAAAAAUCCCUAAGAGGAAAGAAUGCAUAGAAAUGUGCAGAGAUGCUGGAGGAGGUAGUGCAGGCCUGUAAUCCUGUCUCUCGGAUUGCUGAAGCAGGAGGAUGGUAAGAUCCAGACCAGCUUGGGCUAUACACAGCCUGGUGGAUGGGAUGCUUGUGUACGUUCCGUCCAUGGAAACGGUAAGCACCGGAAGGGCAGCAUGAAGUUAGGGAACCAUUGAAGGCAUUCAGCAACAUCCUUACCUAGGAAUGGAGUUGGCAUUUGGUGUAAGAGGCCACCAGGCAACUUCCAAGCAGCUAGUGCUUCUAACCACUGAGCCAUCUCGCCAGCCCCAACUCGUGAUGAUGUGAAAAUACAGUUAGAAAUGAGUAAAACCUGGCAAACCAUUAGUGUGUUGUCAUAGUUACCAGUUAAAUAUUGCUGAGUCACAGGCUUUCAUCAACAGUAAUAAAGGCUGAGUUCUGUGUGUCACUUGCAUGCUCUUCCCCUGGGCUCUCUGGUUGGCUAAUGUGGCUGUGGUCAGAUGACUGACUGACUAUGAUGGGCUCACAGUGGGUGAAGGACCUCAGCUGGGAUGACGUCAGAUCUCCAUCCAGGACUGCUUCAUGGUAUAAGUGGGCUCAGAGAUCUAAAGGACAAGGAACAACCUCUUCUGCCAAAGUGCCUGGCCCUGAAAGCUAUCAAUUUGAAAUGUGUAAUAGUUUCAGUUAUGUCAGAAAUUAUUGACCUUAAUCUAAUUAGAUUGGCCCAAGUAAAUUCUAAUGUUGUUAUAUACUUUGAUAUACCUUGAAAAUAUACUUCAUUCCUAUGAGCAGUAGUUUAGUGACUGUGCCCAGCAUGGUUAAGAUGUAUGCAUACCCAAGCUUUGGGAAGAGUUAGCUCUGAAGCCAUGUUGGUACCAUGAUUGCAUAUACUUUGAAAACUUUUCUAAGCCUCUCCUUUGAAAAUGGUG
rnacentral:lncRNA from 1 species